CAGUUUCUAUCCUCUUUUUGAAAUGAGCUAAUUUUGUACGAAAGGACUUUUUCGCUAAAGCAAUGCUUUGUCACAAAUCUGUGGUUGCAUAAAUAAUAGGGUAUAAUAGGUUGAUUAGCCUAUAGGAAGGGUUG
rnacentral:rRNA from 1 species